AAAACAAUUAAAAAAAAAGAGGGAUGAAACAUGAGGACUUCCCGCGAGGUCACCCAUCCUAGUACUACUCUCACCCAAGCACGCUUAACUGCGGUGUUCUGAUGGGAUUCGGUGUAUUAGUGCUUGUAUGAUCGUAUCCGUUAGUAUAUGCAAUGCAAUCGUAUAUAUUCUUUUUUGAAGACUUGAUGAACCAUUCGCCAUGGGUUCCACCCGCUAUGUAGGGAUACCCCAUCUAUUCUUAACGAGCUUUGAUGCAUGAAAAAAUUCUAAAACAAUGCUUGAACAAGUAAUUUUGGGUCCGUAAUAUAGCCCAAAUCACAAAAAUGCUCGAAAGAGUACUUAAAGGUCAAAAUUUGGGGUCGACAAAAAGUCAAUGGAAAAGUUU
rnacentral:sRNA from 1 species